CGAUGCAUCUAGAUUAGACUUUGAUCCUGGCUCAGGACGAACGCUGGCGGCGUGCCUAAUACAUGCAAGUCGAGCGGACAGAUGGGAGCUUGCUCCCUGAUGUCAGCGGCGGACGGGUGAGUAACACGUGGGUAACCUGCCUGUAAGACUGGGAUAACUCCGGGAAACCGGGGCUAAUACCGGAUGCUUGAUUGAACCGCAUGGUUCAAUUAUAAAAGGUGGCUUUCAGCUACCACUUACAGAUGGACCCGCGGCGCAUUAGCUAGUUGGUGAGGUAACGACUCACCAAGGCAACGAUGCGUAGCCGACCUGAGAGGGUGAUCGGCCACACUGGGACUGAGACACGGCCCAGACUCCUACGGGAGGCAGCAGUAGGGAAUCUUCCGCAAUGGACGAAAGUCUGACGGAGCAACGCCGCGUGAGUGAUGAAGGUUUUCGGAUCGUAAAACUCUGUUGUUAGGGAAGAACAAGUACCGUUCGAAUAGGGCGGUACCUUGACGGUACCUAACCAGAAAGCCACGGCUAACUACGUGCCAGCAGCCGCGGUAAUACGUAGGUGGCAAGCGUUGUCCGGAAUUAUUGGGCGUAAAGCGCGCGCAGGCGGUUUCUUAAGUCUGAUGUGAAAGCCCCCGGCUCAACCGGGGAGGGUCAUUGGAAACUGGGGAACUUGAGUGCAGAAGAGGAGAGUGGAAUUCCACGUGUAGCGGUGAAAUGCGUAGAGAUGUGGAGGAACACCAGUGGCGAAGGCGACUCUCUGGUCUGUAACUGACGCUGANGCGCGAAAGCGUGGGGAGCGAACAGGAUUAGAUACCCUGGUAGUCCACGCCGUAAACGAUGAGUGCUAAGUGUUAGAGGGUUUCCGCCCUUUAGUGCUGCAGCAAACGCAUUAAGCACUCCNNCUGGGGAGUACGGUCGCAAGACUGAAACUCAAAGGAAUUGACGGGGGNCCGCACNAGCGGUGGAGCAUGUGGUUUUAAUUCGAAGCNACGCGAANAANCUUACCAGGUCUUGACAUCCUCUGACAACCCUAGAGAUAGGGCUUCCCCUUCGGGGGCCAGA
rnacentral:rRNA from 1 species